UACGGGGGGGGCAAGCGUUGUUCGGAAUUACUGGGCGUAAAGGGCUCGUAGGCGGCCAACUAAGUCAGACGUGAAAUCCCUCGGCUUAACCGGGGAACUGCGUCUGAUACUGGAUGGCUUGAGUUUGGGAGAGGGAUGCGGAAUUCCAGGUGUAGCGGUGAAAUGCGUAGAUAUCUGGAGGAACACCGGUGGCGACGGCGGCAUCCUGGACCAACACUGACGCUGAGUGAGCGAAAGCCAGGGGAGCAAACGGG
rnacentral:rRNA from 1 species